UACAGAGGGGGCAAGCGUUGUUCGGAAUUACUGGGCGUAAAGGGCGCGUAGGCGGCCUGUUAAGUCGAACGUGAAAUCCCCGGGCUCAACCCGGGAACUGCGUCCGAUACUGGCAGGCUUGAAUUCGGGAGAGGGAUGUGGAAUUCCAGGUGUAGCGGUGAAAUGCGUAGAUAUCAGGAGGAACACCGGUGGCGAAGGCGGAUCUCUGGGCCUUACCUGACGCUGAGGCGCGAAAGCUAGGGGAGCAAACAGG
rnacentral:rRNA from 1 species